GUAACUUAGCGAUAAGAAAAUAGACUAUUGGUUAAAUAAAUUUAAAUUUAAGUGUGUUUUAGAAGAAGAGGAACUUUCAGUAUAUUCCUUAAGAUGAGCUGAGCAGCAGUCCAGUUUACAAGAUGACAAGAGUUCGAGAGACAAGAUACAAGAUCACUGAAACAAGAGCCAAGACUGAAGAUUCAAGAGAAGAGAAAGCUGGCAGCCAUGGACUUACAAGUGGAGAUUAAUAAGGUCAUGUAAAGUUUUAUUUUUUUAUGGAAGACAGUAACUGGAGUUUUUUUGUUAUAAACAUUAUUUACAGAACUUUUUAGGUUAUAGUAAUGUAAUGGAACUAGUGAGUUGUGGUAGCUGUCAAAAAGAACUAAUACCUUAAGUUUAAUUUUUAAAGUUAAUUUUCUUAAUUUACAGAGGGAUUAGUAGUUUUUUUUAAAACCUUAUUUAGGUUGGAAUUUAAAUACAAUAGCUUAUUAUAAAUGUGUACGAACAGUUCAAGUUCACAGUACUGAUAGGUAGGUCAGAUGAUCUUAUUGAUUUUGAUGAUUUGUUGUUUUAAGUUGAUUUUUAAGUGUUGUGAAUUAGACAAUGAAAUAGUUCUGAAAACUUAAAUUAUUUCAAGCUAAGAAAUAGUAAAUUUAAUUGUAACUCGAAGGACACCAGAAUUUACUUUUUUUUGAAUUAGUAAUGUUUGAAAAUUUUAUACUUUACCAGAAAGGUUAUAAACAAACAGAUCGGAUGGAACAAGGAUGCAGUAAAUCACAAUUUCAUUUAGAAUUAUUGAUUUGCUUUUGAGGUUAUGAAGGAAAAGUAGCUAUAAUUUAAAAAUUUGAAUAAAAAUGUUUUUUUUUUAAUUUGUUUGAAAUAGAAAAUUUAAAAGUUAAUUAGUCAUGAUCUAGGUGGGUGAUGGGGUGGGAAUUGGCCACUCUUUUUCCCUAUAACCUCCCUAACAUGGCCUUCUAUUACAACUAACAGAAAUAAAGAAGAAGAAAAAUGAAGAAUUAUUAGUUAGAAUGUUUCUUUCAUGAAGAUACCUGAUGAACUUUUACUGUUUGGAAGAAUAGAAGCAAGGUUAGUCAGAUAUUUUUACUCAGAAGAAGAAGAAGAUAAAGCAGUUUUAUGACUCGACAAGCCAGAGAUUGGUGUUUCCCCUCUGCGCUUCUAUUGACUACGUUGUUUACUCUCAUGGGAUAGCUGGUUCGGCACCAUGGAGAGAGAUUGGUGGGCAUUGUGGUUGCCCCCAGAAGAAAAGAAGAGUAGAAGAGGUUAUGGGUGGGUCAUGUGAACUGACCUUCAACCCAGUUACUUCGUGGGGACUAUUUGCUGUAUAGAGAAGAUCAAGACUCAAGAGUUAGGGAAAAUCAUUGGAGGUCAUGUUUCCCUUCCUUAAGUUUUUCCUAUCAAAUUAUUUGCCUGAUUAGAUUAUGCUAAGGGUGGGAUACUUUAUGUUAGCAGUUGAAUUAAUUAAUUUUAUUUUUUUUGUGUGUUUACAUCCUUGCCCAUCGAUUGCAGUUUAGUAGUUAGUUUUGUAUUUGUCAGGCGUGAUGGUAAUGCCUGUUGAUGAUGUUUCAGAAUUGUAAUCUGUUCGUGAUGAGGAUGGCACAACUCCGAAGCAGAUGUGGGGAGAAGUUGUGAGCUGCCCUGGAAGCCAGUCCAGUAGCUGUUGGAGUUGAGUGGUGUUUGCUGAUGGCCAGCCCAGGGAGCUACUCUUCUCGACAACACUGACUUCGAGGAGUUGCACCAACCUUCACGAGAUAAGAGUUUAAUUAAUUGAAACACUGUAAGGACACUUAAUUUUUUUUGAAGAACGAAAGAAGUAUGGUAAUAAACGGAAACCGAAAAAAAAAAAAAUAAUAAUAAUUAUCAAGAAUUUGCACAUUGUUUAACGAAUACUGAGAAACUAAGAACAGUAAUUUAAUUUGUAAAGAGAGCUUCACUAACAGAACAAUUUUUUUUAGAAUUGAGAACUCGAGCCUCUGAAGGUUCCUGUGAGAACAAACCAGAUAAAAGUUUUACAUUUAAUUUUAUGAAUACUUGUUGUUUUAAAAUAAAUCUUAUGCAGAAUCUAGAUGUAUGUUCAGACAGCAAGGAACUAAGAAAAUUAUUAUUUUUGUGAAAUGAGGAAUUUAUAGUUAUGGUUUAAUGGAAAAAGACAAUUUGUAAUUUUGAGGUAGCUCGAUGGGGCUCGAGCUCUGUGAGGGGAGGGUUAUGUCGCGGGUUGAAAUUUUGCAGGGUUGUUGAAAUCUAAUUUAGGGACUUUACUGACGGGACUCUGGGCUGGCUGCUCUGUUCACUCGUCAGCGCAAGUGGCGUGACCAUGUAAUUGGGGCACGGGGCCGGCGCGGCGCGCUGCGGGCUUGCAGAAUUUUGUUUGUUUGUUUGGCCGCGCGCUGGCGCAGCCACGGGCCGCAGUUACUGGGGCGCGCUGUCGUAACAAGCCGCGCGGUGUGGCCUGCACAUUGGGGUAGAGGGGGGGUAGUCUUCCCAGAUGUUCUAGUUAGUUGUUUAGUAAAUUUGACUUCAAUAACGAGCUUUUGUUAUGGUAGGCGCGGCAGGGCGCGCGAAUUUAAGCGCAAGUGAGUGGUGACUUCAGGCUCACUCAGGCGGAGGCUCACUCAGGCGGAGGCUAUGCGUCUCACCUGUGGUCACGAGUUGUUAGUUCGUUCGUGAUGUAGGAAUUCAGGCUCACUCAGGCGGAGGCUAUGCGUCUCACCUGUGGUCACGAGUUGUUAGUUCGUUCGUGAUGUAGGAAUUCAGGCUCUCGGGCGGAAGCUAUGGCCGACGCCAGAGGCCACGAGUCGUUUAAUUUAAGUUAGGUCAUAAUGUAGUCAUCUUCAAGCUUUUGGGCGGAGGCAAUGGCCCUCGUCACUAGUCGUUUAGUUAUAAUUUUUAAAAUGUAAUGUUCGUUCGGAUUUUAAGGGCAGGAGAGGCCCCUACGUUAGUUUUAAGUAAUCGAUCAAGAAAGGCUUUUUGGAAAAUGUGAGUAUGGACUUAUCUUUGUUUUAAUUUUAAGUAGUAAUUAUGAUUUGAGGUAUUCGGAAGGACUAGGGAAGUGUUUAGUGAAGUUCUCUCAUUCUCUCUCUUGUAAGGUCGUUCAAUCGUUAAGGAAGUAAAGAGAUUAUUGUUUUAAAUUGUAAUCCCGCUAUUUAAAUGUUCUUUAAAAUGAUGUUGAGUAUUUGACUUUAAGAAUAAAAUAAUUUUAAUUAA